rnacentral:lncRNA from 1 species
UAUCAAGAUUGAUAGAUCCCAUCUUGAUGCGCAUUCUAUUCGUACAGUGGACUAACUGUUGCCAAUAUUCACUACAAGGGCUCAUUGAGAUCAUAUUUAUGUAUCAGUCAAACUUCAGCAGUUUCACUGUGAGCAGUCAUACCAUCGUAGAUCAAAGAACCAUUCAUACAACUAUAGCAUCAAGAUAAUCACUGACGAUCGAGUAGAAAUCUAAGUGAUCUCUCGUAUGGUCACGCUCAGUACUAGUUAUUCUCUAACAACAACCCAC